AGCAGCCGCGGUAAUUCCAGCUCCAAUAGCGUAUAUUAAAGUUGUUGCAGUUAAAAAGCUCGUAGUUGAAUUUCGGGAUUAAUUUAUUGGUCGUGCUAUUGUACGUACUGGUAUUAUUGAUUCCUACCUUCUGACGAACCACGAUGUCAUUAAUUUGGUGUCAUGGGGAAUCAGGACUGUUACUUUGAAAAAAUUAGAGUGUUUAAAGCAGGCUCACGCUUGAAUACAUUAGCAUGGAAUAACGAAAUAGGACGUUUGAUUCUAUUUUGUUGGUUUCUAGGAUCGACGUAAUGAUUAAUAGGGAUAGUUGGGGGCAUUAGUAUUCAAUUGUCAGAGGUGAAAUUCUUGGAUUUAUUGAAGACUAACUACUGCGAAAGCAUUUGCCAAGGAUGUUUUCAUUAAUCAAGAACGAAAGUUAAGGGGAUCGAAGACGAUCAGAUACCGUGUAGUCUUAACCAUAAACUAUGCCGACUAGGGAUCGGAUGAUGUUAAUUUUUUAAUGACUCAUUCGGCGCCUUAC
rnacentral:misc_RNA from 1 species